GACGAACGCUGGCGGCGUGCCUAAUACAUGCAAGUCGAGCGGACAGAUGGGAGCUUGCUCCCUGAAGUCAGCGGCGGACGGGUGAGUAACACGUGGGCAACCUGCCUGUAAGACUGGGAUAACUUCGGGAAACCGGAGCUAAUACCGGAUACGUUCUUUUCUUGCAUGAGAGAAGAUGGAAAGAUGGUUUCGGCUAUCACUUACAGAUGGGCCCGCGGCGCAUUAGCUAGUUGGUGAGGUAAUGGCUCACCAAGGCGACGAUGCGUAGCCGACCUGAGGGGGUGAUCGGCAACACUGGGACUGAGACACGGCCCAGACUCCUACGGGAGGCAGCAGUAGGGAAUCUUCCGCAAUGGACGAAAGUCUGACGGAGCAACGCCGCGUGAACGAUGAAGGCCUUCGGGUCGUAAAGUUCUGUUGUUAGGGAAGAACAAGUACCAGAGUAACUGCUGGUACCUUGACGGUACCUAACCAGAAAGCCACGGCUAACUACGUGCCAGCAGCCGCCGUAAAAC
rnacentral:rRNA from 1 species